UACGGAGGGGGCUAGCGUUGUUCGGAAUUACUGGGCGUAAAGCGCACGUAGGCGGCCUUGUAAGUUAGAGGUGAAAGCCCGGAGCUCAACUCCGGAAUUGCCUUUAAGACUGCAUCGCUUGAAUCAUGGAGAGGUGAGUGGAAUUCCGAGUGUAGAGGUGAAAUUCGUAGAUAUUCGGAAGAACACCAGUGGCGAAGGCGACUCACUGGACAUGUAUUGACGCUGAGGUGCGAAAGCGUGGGGAGCAAACAGG
rnacentral:rRNA from 1 species